GUGCAAGAUGGUGGGUGGGGAGAGCAGGAACAAGAGCUGAACCCGGACCCGCCUGACACCCGCAACCGGAGCUCAGAGAAAAUGACAGCAAUGUGAAGAAACACUGUUGCUUUGUCAGGAUUCGGUGAGGGCUGCGUGCCCUCUCCUUUUCAUAUCCCGGUGCGUGGUUGCUAGGAU